UGCCCACCCUGAAGGGAUUCCCCAAGGCAUCACACCCACACCCUACAGAGAUAUGGUUCCCACACAAAGUACAGCCGCCUCCAGAGCAGCUGUCCUGCAGCUGCUGUCACCCAGAAAUUUCCACAAAAAACUCUUUCCAGCAGCACUUGCCUGGGGUAUGGAGCCACGGCAGGGUGGUUCCUGCACCACCUUCCUUGCUUCAAGUCACACUCAGCAGGAAAGCUGAAAUGUCGUGAUCAGAGCUCGCAGGACGGGGUGGUGGAGAAUUUCAUUCCCCCUCUCCGGAAAGCCCAGGCCAGCCGGUGAACGUGAGCCAACGCCACUCAGCAAAAGCCACCCCUGGCCGCCUGCCAUCUACUCCUGAUGAAUGAGCUGCAACACACUCAAAGGGAACAAUCAAGAGCCAAAACAGACUUGUCUUUCAUCCAUUACAGAAUCUUUGAAGUGUAACCCAUCAAUCCAAUGCUGCUGCUGGAUAAACCCACAGAAUGAUAUCCCAUGCCUCUGGCAAGCAGGAUCCCCUCUGAUCAAAGCAAGUCAGCUCUCCCACAUCCAGACUUUCCUGGUGAAAGCACAUGAAAGCCAACCUUACCCCAGAAGGACAAGGACAACUAAAUUUCCUGUGAAAACACAAGAGGAAAGAGUUGGACUGCUCUUUUCAAAAGGAAAUUUGUCAUGAUAUCCCUGCAUCUACAGCCAAAAUGUGCACUGACCACGAGGACCCUACUUUCACCUUCAUCCAUGGAAGAAUUUAAUUAAUCUUUCUAUAUUGGCAGGCGAACAACAUUUCCUAAAGAGAAAAAUAACUGUUAAUUUCCAGAGGUAAUUAACAGUCACUGAAUAAGACUAAAGGGCUUUCAUCAAAAUUACCAAUCAGCUCAAAUUUGAAGAGAUUCUCUCCUCCUCAUUGCUUCUUCAUCUCAUUCAGCCAGUCCUGCUGAAUUAGUGCCUAAUAGAGUCUCAGACAUAUUCAUAUCCUGUCAAAUUCCCAUCCUCCCAAGGAACUGUCCCUUUCAAAUGGUAAUACAGAGGGCGUAUGAUGUGCACUCGUUGCUAUUUUGGAUUUAACAGCUGGCUGUGUUGCACUAAGGGUAGCUGUGGAAACUUAACUGAGGGAUGUGUGCAUGUGUGUGUGUGUGUACACAUCUGUGUGAGUAAACGCCUACUCCUUUGCAAAUGAUACCAUUUAUCUUAAACAAUGCUCUCUUUAUAACUCUAAAAGCUAAUUCUCUUUUUAGACCACCACAGCUGCUGAAGGGGAGAAUGGUACAGCUUCACAGCAACCAAGAGCAUGGCUUAACCCCAGGACUGGGCUGUGCAACCCCUUUCUCACAGGAGUUUCAGCAGAUGAGCAGGGUCACCAUCAGUACUGGGUCACUGGUGGCCUUCAUUAAGACCUAAGGGUUUAAGAAAGGCUCUCUUCAGGCUCUCCUCACUUUGGCCAGGUGAGGAGAGGCAGGGGGACAGGCAGCCACAGGGAUUUACUUGUUUUUGCACAGUUUCAGAUGUUCUCAACACAGCCCAGCACACACACUGGAGUGCCUGAACAGAGGCAGAUGGUCUAAGGGCUGACCUCCACAGAGCAGUAUGAACACAGAAAUUAGGAGUCCUCCCAGGUCACUGCAAUAUAAGUUUCCCUCCUCCUGCUUUGUAAAUAUUUUGAGCCUGAGCCAAAGACAGGUGGUGUUUCCAGGGAUAUUCUCAGUGACUUCAGCUGGAUCUGGAGUACUUGUAAUUUGACAUCUCAGGGGACCUCAUGGUGACAACCAGCAACGAGAAUUUUUAGUAAAACGUUUCUGUGUGCUGUGCCAGAGCACUUCUGGAGACAGCACUAGAUGGGCACAGAGCAUGACCUCUGUUAACAAUACACACUACAUGAAAGCUAAUAAUUCUGGCUAAAGCAUAUUCAAAAUAGGAUGCUUGAAGCAAAACUAAUGCAUUAUUCACUGCUUGUUGGGAAUACAAGAACAUGGAGAUAGACAUCUGAGCCUUGGGCCUUUUCUGCAAUGUACUAUACACAGGCUCAGUGGGCUUAUUGGCAGUACUGUGACUCUUACUGCCAUGGAUUUUUCAUUACUAAUAGCAUUUAAAAUCUUGCCCUGUGAUCAAAUUUUUUAAAAAGUGCACGUAUUCAUCUUUGCUUUCUAGUCACAUACAGUGAUGGGAGGUAUUUCUAAUGCUGUAUUCACUCCCUUGGUGUAAAAUGUGCCCUUUUUCCACCUUUACAUUAAAUCAGACAAAUAUUUGGUGAAACUCACGGGGUGAAAUAGUGCAAAAAAUGCCAAUUUCUCAGUAGGUAGCUGAAAACAAUUGUGAACAGAGCACCAGCAUAAUCAACUCCAAUACAGCAUGCAGGCUCUGCUAGCAUAAUGCUUCUCAAAAAUAAACAUGUGUAAAA